ensembl:lncRNA
CGGGCGGUUUGGGGCUGUGGGCGGGCAUGGGCGGUGUCGGCUCCGUGAUGCGGAUCCUGGCCGCGCCGCGGCGGGCUCGCUCCUUCCGCUGUCUCCCCGCUCGGGACGAGCCCAGGGAAGCGGUUGCGGCCCGCCGGCCGGGGCCAUGUUGGCGGCGGGCCAGGGCGGCCAAGCCGUCCUUCGUGUCCUACAUCAGCCCGGAGGAAAUACACAUAAAGGAACCCAUAGAAAAGGAAGUAAAUCCUCGCUUAUUACCAGGUGAACUGCUGCUUUGUGAAGCAAGCACAGUGUACAAGUAUAUGCAAGAAGAUGGAUCAAAUCGUGGCGCCUACGGGAAACUCGUGUGCACGAACUUCAAGAUUUCUUUCCUUGAUGAUGAUUCUGCUUCAGAUGAUAAUGAACCAGAAUUUAAGAAUAAAAUUGUAGGAGAAAAUGACAUAACCCUGCAAUGUGUAGAUCAAAUCUACGGAGUUUAUGAUGAGAAAAAGAAACUUCUAACUGGACAGCUGAGAAAAUACCCAGAAAGGUUAAUUAUCUACUGUAAAGAUCUUAGAGUAUUUAAUUUUUGCCUGAGAUACACAAAAGAAGAGGAAGUGAAAAGAAUCGUCAGUGGUAUAGUUCAUCAUAGCCAGACUCCUAAGCUGCUUAAACGUUUGUUUCUGUUCUCUUAUGCAUCAGCUGCCCCAAACAACACAGAUGGAAGAAACCAAACUGUGAUGUUUGAUACGCUCGAGGACUGGCGUGAUGAGUUGGAGCGGACCAAAGGGAAUGUGAAAUACAAAGCAGUGAUCACCAAUGAAGGCUACAGAGUGUCUGAGAAGCUGCCUUUGUAUUUUGUUGUUCCCAUAUGCAUUUCUGAAGAGAGUAUCUUGAAGUAUGAAGGCAGAGGCAUUCCUAUUUGGUGUUGGUCUUGCCAUAAUGGUGCUGCUCUUCUCAAAAUGUCUGCAUUUCCCAAAGAACAGGAUGACAGCACUUCACAAAUGCAAAAAGCCUUCUUGGAUGGGUCAGUAAUAGCUAUUCUGUCCACAACACUUUGCUUGGUAUGGACCUUGCUUCUCUUUUUCCAUAUAUGCUAUAUCUUUUAAGCUUUCACACAUCAGGAAACAAGUUCUAGAUCUGAAAGUAGUUUUCUGUAGUGGAAUGUGUUUAAGCCCUUGACUCCACGGCAUUGGUCAGUUGUGCAGGACUGGAACUUCACUGAAGGCUUUUUUGUGGAAGUAUGUAUACAUACCUGAGUAAUCUCUCUACAAACUAUGGUGUGUUAUUUAGGACAAGCAGCACCAAAGCCUGUAGGUGUUAAGUACAGUUGAAAUAUUAUUAACUGAUGGGCUCAAUUCUGUUUGCAAGUGGGAAAAAUCUAGACUCCAUCUCUAAACAUGGAUUUGCAAGCUGAGUUUUUAAGACUCUGCCAUCUUCUGAGAACUAGGUUUGUGUUUUUAUAGACAAAGUGAUCUAAAACUCUCUUGAGACAGCCUAGCAGUUCACUGCUGCAGCUUUCAGAUGUGAAGCCAGACAGUGCUUUUUCAGGUGAGGCAGUGAGCUGAAUUAGUUUAGCAGUUUGAAAAAUGCAAAGUUUAAUUUAAUGGAAGGAGCACAGCUGCCUGACUGAGAGUUACAGUGAUGAUUUGUUGCUCUUCGGUCUUGGUUUUUUUUAACCUGUUGGGUGUCCUGGAGAGAACUUCUCUUAGCAGCCAGCUUUUGAUCACUCAUAUGUACAGUCUGUAUGUUCAACAUCAGCUCUUUGCUCCUCAAAGAUGAAAGGCCUGUUAAUCACACAGAACUAACAGAAAAUAUCUUGAUUGGGUUCUUAAAACCUCCUUUGUUUAUAAAAUUAAUUAUACUUGCAUAGAAAAGGCUUUUGACUCUUCCUGCAGAUUCUCUAAUGCUUCUCAUGUGAAAUGGGGAAGAUUACAAGACUUAGAACUCUAAUGCUAUUUCAUGAUGCAAAAAUAAGUAAAACUAUACUAAGC